GGGGCUGAUCGGUUUCGACAGCGCCUGUGAAUCCACGAGAAGCGGGCCGAGGAUGCAGAGUUAUCUCGUAAACGCUCUCUGCAAACCAAUAGUUGCCGAUGCAAAGCGCAACGACUUCGCCCUCGCUGCCUAAGCGAGCCCGAUAGUCCGUCAGACCGUGGCUGAUCUCGACACGGACUCUGGCGUCAUCUAGAGAUCUUGCUGAGCGGUGGCGUCUGGACGCCGCUCGGGACUUUUCCCAGACUGGGCUCGUCGACUUAGGUGUCUGUGACAAAGGUCGGAGCCGAGCAGAACGCUUCCACAGACUGCGCCCGGAGAAGGCGUGGAGACUCAGUGCUGGACGGGGGUUCGAUUCCCCCCAGCUCCACGA
rnacentral:tmRNA from 1 species